rnacentral:rRNA from 1 species
UACGGAGGGUGCAAGCGUUAUCCGGAUUCACUGGGUUUAAAGGGUGCGUAGGAGGGCAGGUAAGUCAGUGGUGAAAUCUUCGAGCUUAACUCGGAAACUGCCGUUGAUACUAUCUGUCUUGAAUACCGUGGAGGUGAGCGGAAUAUGUCAUGUAGCGGUGAAAUGCUUAGAUAUGACAUAGAACACCAAUUGCGAAGGCAGCUCGCUACGCGAAUAUUGACUCUGAGGCACGAAAGCGUGGGGAUCAAACAGG